CAUGCAAGUCGAACGAACUUCCGUUAAUUGAUUAUGACGUGCUUGCACUGAAUGAGAUUUUAACACGAAGUGAGUGGCGGACGGGUGAGUAACACGUGGGUAACCUGCCCAGAAGCAGGGGAUAACACCUGGAAACAGAUGCUAAUACCGUAUAACAGAGAAAACCGCCUGGUUUUCUUUUAAAAGAUGGCUCUGCUAUCACUUCUGGAUGGACCCGCGGCGCAUUAGCUAGUUGGUGAGGUAACGGCUCACCAAGGCGAUGAUGCGUAGCCGACCUGAGAGGGUAAUCGGCCACAUUGGGACUGAGACACGGCCCAGACUCCUACGGGAGGCAGCAGUAGGGAAUCUUCCACAAUGGACGCAAGUCUGAUGGAGCAACGCCGCGUGAGUGAAGAAGGGUUUCGGCUCGUAAAGCUCUGUUGUUAAAGAAGAACGUGGGUGAGAGUAACUGUUCACCCAGUGACGGUAUUUAACCAGAAAGCCACGGCUAACUACGUGCCAGCAGCCGCGGUAAUACGUAGGUGGCAAGCGUUAUCCGGAUUUAUUGGGCGUAAAGCGAGCGCAGGCGGUCUUUUAAGUCUAAUGUGAAAGCCUUCGGCUCAACCGAAGAAGUGCAUUGGAAACUGGGAGACUUGAGUGCAGAAGAGGACAGUGGAACUCCAUGUGUAGCGGUGAAAUGCGUAGAUAUAUGGAAGAACACCAGUGGCGAAGGCGGCUGUCUGGUCUGUAACUGACGCUGAGGCUCGAAAGCAUGGGUAGCGAACAGGAUUAGAUACCCUGGUAGUCCAUGCCGUAAACGAUGAUUACUAAGUGUUGGAGGGUUUCCGCCCUUCAGUGCUGCAGCUAACGCAUUAAGUAAUCCGCCUGGGGAGUACGACCGCAAGGUUGAAACUCAAAAGAAUUGACGGGGGCCCGCACAAGCGGUGGAGCAUGUGGUUUAAUUCGAAGCUACGCGAAGAACCUUACCAGGUCUUGACAUCUUCUGCCAACCUAAGAGAUUAGGCGUUCCCUUCGGGGACAGAAUGACAGGUGGUGCAUGGUUGUCGUCAGCUCGUGUCGUGAGAUGUUGGGUUAAGUCCCGCAACGAGCGCAACCCUUAUUACUAGUUGCCAGCAUUCAGUUGGGCACUCUAGUGAGACUGCCGGUGACAAACCGGAGGAAGGUGGGGACGACGUCAAAUCAUCAUGCCCCUUAUGACCUGGGCUACACACGUGCUACAAUGGAUGGUACAACGAGUUGCGAAACCGCGAGGUUUAGCUAAUCUCUUAAAACCAUUCUCAGUUCGGACUGUAGGCUGCAACUCGCCUACACGAAGUCGGAAUCGCUAGUAAUCGCGGAUCAGCAUGCCGCGGUGAAUACGUUCCCGGGCCUUGUACACACCGCCCG
rnacentral:rRNA from 1 species